rnacentral:lncRNA from 1 species
GCACAGGUGCACCGGGGCCCCACGCGUUUCUCCCACGCACGGGGGGUGGGGCCUGUGCAGGGCCCGCGCACAGGUGCACCGGGGCCCCACGCGUUUCUCCCACGCACGGGGGGUGGGGCCUGUGCAGGGCCCGCGCACAGGUGCACUGGGGCCCCACGCGUUUCUCCCACGCAGAGGGGCCUGCGCACGGCUCGCACAUAUGUGUACACCUCCCUUCAGGGCGGCAGCCCUGCCCCCUCAUCCACCCUGCCCAGCGCUGGCCCUGGGGAGACUGAACACAGGCCCUUUGUCCCUGGGGAGGAGGGAAGUUGCGGGGCAUAAUCCCCUCCGCGGGUGCGCCUGGGACUCACCCAGCCAGGAGCUGAAACAACGGGGCUUUCUUCCAGCAGGGGUUGGAGGUUGAGUCCGGUCUCCCUGCCCCGUGGAUGUGGAGCCUGGGGGCACCCCUCUGUGCCCUGCAGCCUGAGUGAAGCGGACCAGAAGGCCUCAAGUUCUCGGCGACGCCACGCUUUAAGGUGAGCGCGGGCGGGGCGGCUGCAGCUCGCCACUGCCCCCUGGUGUCAGAAGGCCAUACGGCAGAGAAAGGAGCUGAAAGAGAUCAGAAUCCCCCCAGAAGAUGGAGGGUGUGGGAUCAGGGGAUCCUGCCGGAGGGAGCCAGGACCCAGCUCGGCCCAGAAACACGGGGCAACAUGUCACAGGUUUUGGAAGACCCCGCGGCACCACCUGCGAGCACCAGGGGGCGCAGGAGUUCGGCUGGAAGCAGGUGGCCUGAGUCCGCAUCUGCAGGCUCUUCCAUCAGCCUGAAAAAAAGUCACUUGUCUACACACCCCCCCACCACAGGACUCUGGUUUGGUUUCCAAAUACAUUUAUGGGCUGUGUUUUCUGAUUGCAACGCGAUAGUAUCUGGAUAGUGAAGACAGUCUGGAAAUGAUUUCCAAGGACGGUCAUCCCCCAUCCCGCUGUCACCCAGGGCGAGGAGUGUGUGUGCCCGCUCUCCGGGUGCCAAAAUGUACACACGCAGCUCCGGGUCGCAGCCUGUGAGUCUGGAGUUGUCUCUUGCCCAGCAAGAGGCGGAUGCAGAAAUGAAAACGAGAGAGGGUAGUGGCCGGGAGGGGACAAGAGCCCCACACAGGCUCCGUGUUUGUCAUACACACCGGGUGACAGUGCAGAAGACAAUCAGUCGGUAUUGUUAACAUGUGUGUAAGAAGUGAAGCGUCUGGGGGGCGAGUGGCGUUGUGAUCAAAGUACAUUGGCACCAGACGGAAGGAGUUUCCUGCAGGGGACACAAGUCACCAGUGGUCCCGUUGUAAUUUCUCACUGAUGGACCUCGGGCGCCUUUGCCCCGUGGCCACAGCUUUCUGCCCUAAGCCUUUUGUACCCCGUUAAUGAAAGUGUAAGGAAUUCGUGAACCUGCUCCCCCACAGCUCUGGGUCGUGCUUACGUUUAGAAUCUCUCAGAAAUCCUUUGUUUCUUC